UGGGGAAUAUUGGACAAUGGGCGAAAGCCUGAUCCAGCCAUGCCGCGUGUGUAAAGAAGGCCUUAUGGUUGUAAAGCACUUUAAGCGAGGAGGAGGGUACUGGUAUUAAUACUACCAGGUACUGGACGUUACUCGCAGAAUAAGCACCGGCUAACUCUGUGCCAGCAGCCGCGGUAAUACAGAGGGUGCGAGCGUUAAUCGGAUUUACUGGGCGUAAAGCGUGCGUAGGCGGCUAAUUGAGUCGGAUGUGAAAUCCCCGAGCUUAACUUGGGAAUUGCAUUCGAUACUGGUUAGCUAGAGUGUGGGAGAGGAUGGUAGAAUUCCAGGUGUAGCGGUGAAAUGCGUAGAGAUCUGGAGGAAUACCGAUGGCGAAGGCAGCCAUCUGGCCUAACACUGACGCUGAGGUACGAAAGCAUGGGGAGCAAACAGG
rnacentral:rRNA from 1 species